ensembl:lncRNA
GGGGUCUGAUUGUGGACAGGUGUCUGCAAUCUGACCCAAUCAGGAAGUGUGUAUUUAUGUGCCUGCUUGUCUUUCAGUGAGGGGUCGAGAGCGAGAGAAGGAAGACGCUCUCUGCGAGCCAGAGAGAGCGUCUUAUGACCAAGUGACGGACGGAAUGAACAUUCAACGUUGUCCUUUUUGUAAUUGUGACGUUGUGUUUGUUUGCCCGAAGUGGGAAUAAACAGGAGUUCGCUCCGUUUCACCUAAGAACUGUGUCCCGACUCCUGUGAACCCGUUACAGUGGAGCCCAACGUAGUAGGAGUCGAUUAUGGAACAAUCGCCAUUGGCCAGUGUCCUCGGACACCUGGCACAAACAGCAGAGCGUCAGACCCAGCUACAGCAGGGUCUGACGGGGGGUGACCGAGGUCUCAGAGUGGCCGCCGUAGGAGUGGGCCCACCGUCUCCUGCCGGCAGCCCAGAAGGACUUUGACACCGUCGCAAGGGCUAUCUGGGGACCGUUUGGGCCUAAACCCGGAGGAACAUCGCCGCCGGUUCCGGGCCCUGGCCUUCACCGACGGCGACCGGCCCUUCACCUACGCCCAGCAGCUGUGGGACCAGGCAGACGCGUCGGAUAGGGGGUUGGGCGCGGUCCUGACCCAGCAGGUGGAGGGGACCGACCGUCCGGUUCUGUACCUGAGCCGCAAGCUGUCGGACCGCGAGGGUCGAUACAUGAGGGGUUGAGAGAGAGAAGGAAGACGCUCUCUGCGAGCCAGAGAGAGCGUCGUAUGACCAAGGGACGGACGGAAUGAACAUUCGACAUGGUCCUUUUUGUACUUGUGACGUUGUGUUUGUUUGCCCUAAGUGGAAAUAAACAGGAGUUCACUCCAUUUCACCUAAGAA